rnacentral:ribozyme from 2 species
UAUUUAACUCCGCCUGUAACCCCUCCGGAAGCCACUGCCGGUUUCAAGCCCGGAUAAAGGAGGAGGGUUUG